UACAGAGGUCCCAAGCGUUGUUCGGAUUCACUGGGUUUAAAGGGUGCGUAGGUGGGCAGUUAAGUCAGUGGUGAAAUCUCCGGGCUCAACCCGGAAACUGCCAUUGAUACUAUCGGUCUUGAAUAUCGUGGAGGUAAGCGGAAUAUGUCAUGUAGCGGUGAAAUGCUUAGAUAUGACAUGGAACACCAAUUGCGAAGGCAGCUUACUACCCGAAUAUUGACACUGAGGCACGAAAGCGUGGGGAUCAAACAGG
rnacentral:rRNA from 1 species